GAUGAACGCUAGCGGCAGGCCUAACACAUGCAAGUCGAGGGAUAAGCCUUCGGGCUAAGACCGGCGCACGGGUGCGUAACGCGUAUACAAUCUGCCUUUUAUCCGGGGGAUAGCCCGAAGAAAUUUGGAUUAAUAUCCUAUGGUAUAAGAGCACGGCAUCGUGCACUUAUUAAAGCUACGGCGGUAAAAGAUGAGUAUGCGUUCUAUUAGCUAGUUGGAGAGGUAACGGCUCCCCAAGGCGACGAUAGAUAGGGGUUCUGAGAGGGAUGUCCCCCACACUGGUACUGAGAUACGGACCAGACUCCUACGGGAGGCAGCAGUGAGGAAUAUUGGACAAUGGUCGGAAGACUGAUCCAGCCAUGCCGCGUGCAGGAUGACGGCCUUAUGGGUUGUAAACUGCUUUUGUAAGGGAAGAAUAAGGAGUACGUGUACUUUGAUGACGGUACCUUACGAAUAAGCAUCGGCUAACUCCGUG
rnacentral:rRNA from 1 species